rnacentral:rRNA from 1 species
UACGUAGGGGGCAAGCGUUGGUCCGGAAUCAUUGGGCGUAAAGCGCGUGUAGGCGGCCCGAUCAGUCCGCUGUGAAAGUCCAGGGCUCAACCCUGGAAUGCCGGUGGAUACUGUCGGGCUCGAGUCCGGAAGAGGCGAGUGGAAUUCCUGGUGUAGCGGUGAAAUGCGCAGAUAUCAGGAAGAACACCCGUGGCUAAGGCGGCUCUCUAGUACGGUACUGACGCUGAGACGCGAAAGCGUGGGGAGCGAACAGG